rnacentral:rRNA from 1 species
AUUGAACGCUGGAGGCAGGCUUAACACAUGCAAGUCGAGCGAGCGGCGGACGGGUGAGUAAUGUCUGGGAAACUGCCUGCUGGAGGGGGAUAACUACUGGAAACGGUAGCUAAUACCGCAUACCAUCAGAUGUGCCCAGCUGGGAUUAGCUAGUAGGUGGGGUAAGGGCUCACCUAGGCGACGAUCCCUCGCUGGUCUGAGAGGAUGACCAGCCAAACUGAAACUGAGACACGGUCCAGACUCCUACGGGAGGCAGCAGUGGGGAAUAUUGCACAAUGGGCGCAAGACUGAUGCAGCCAUGCCGCUUGUGUGAAGAAGGCCUUCGGGUUGUAAAGCACUUUCAGCGAGGAGGCGUUACUCGCAGAAGAAGCACCGGCUAACUCCGUGCCAGCCGCCGCGGUAAUUC